rnacentral:rRNA from 1 species
CCCUUAGAUGUCCUGGGCCGCACGCGCGCUACACUGAUGCAUUCAACGAGUUCUACCUUGGCCGAGAGGCCUGGGCAAUCUUUUGAACCUGCAUCGUGAUAGGGAUAGAUUAUUGCAAUUAUUAAUCUUGAACGAGGAAUUCCUAGUAAACGCAGAUCAUCAAUCUGCAUUGAUUACGUCCCUGCCCUUUGUACACACCGCCCGUCGCACCUACCGAUUGAAUGGUCCGGUGAAGCCUCGGGAUUGUGGCGAGUUCCCUUUAUUGGGAGUUUGUCACGAGAACUUGUCUAAACCUUAUCAUUUAGAGGAAGGUGAAGUCGUANCA